rnacentral:rRNA from 1 species
GAGCACGUAGGUGGGUUUGUAAGUCAGAUGUGAAAGCCUUCUGUUCAACGGAAGAAUUGCAUCUGAAACUGCGAGUCUUGAGUGUAGGAGGGGAGAAUGGAACUUCUGGUGGAGCGGUGAAAUGCGUAGAUAUCAGAAGGAACGCCGGCGGCGAAAGCGAUUCUCUGGCCUAUUACUGACACUGAGUGUGCGAAAGCUAGGGGAGCAAACGGGAUUAGAUACCCCGGUAGUCCUAGCCGUAAACGAUGGGCACUAAGUAGAGGGGUUUU